GAUGAAGAACGCAGCGAAAUGCGAUACUUGGUGUGAAUUGCAGAAUCCCGUGAACCAUCGAGUCUUUGAACGCAAGUUGCGCCUCAAGCCAUUAGGUUGAGGGCACGUCUGCCUGGGCGUCACAUAUCGUUGCCUGAUGCCAGUUUCCUCGUGAUGGGUGACUGUGCAGGGCGAAUGAUGGCUUCCCGUGAGCAUUGUUGCCUCAUGGUUGGUUGAAAAUUGAGUCCUUGGUAGGGAGCGCCGUGAUAGAUGGUGGUUGAGUGACGAACGAGACCCAAUCAUGUGAGACCCCUACCGAAUUUGGCCUUCAUGACCCACAUGCGUCUUUGGAACGCUCAUGACGAGACCUCAGGUCAGGCGGGGCUACCCGCUGAGUUUAAGCAUCUCAAUAAGCGGAGGA
rnacentral:misc_RNA from 1 species